UGGGGGACGUAAAUGUUGGCAUAAAGUUUUUUGUGAUGGAAAUAUUGGCGAUUGGGAUGCUACUUCUUCUACAACAAAUCACAUAAAAUUAAUUUUAAUAUAUCACAAUUUUAUUACCACAAUUUAUUAAAUAUAAUGAACCAAAUAUGAUAAAAUACUUAUCUCUUGUAGGUAGAGAACUCUCUUCAUUGAUCACUGAUUAUAACAAGAUUUGAGGUUGAGGUGUGUAAAUUUACUGUCCUUAAGAGUUGCUUUUGCCCAUCUAAGACAAUGUCUUGGUGUAACAGGUUAUAGCGCCCUACCCUCCAUCAUACAACAACCUAUAAUCCUCGGAAGUAUACACACGCAAUACUUAGAUCGAGUAAACAACUUGAUUCUUUCCUUUGGUAUGUAAAACUUUUGAAGGAUAUAUCACUUUGAAGAGUCAUGAUUCAAUAAUGGAUAAAAGGAUGGCUACAGCGGUGUUUUUUUUUUUUUUUUGGUUUGGGAAAGGAAUAGAUGAGAAUAUAUUUAUAUGAAAACAAAAUGGGCUAAAACGUUAGACUAUAUAAUUACCCAAUUAAUGGGUUAAUCAAGAUGGUACUUUUCAAUGUAUAACUCCCUCAUUUAACUCUCAAUUAUAAUAUGAAUGAAAUGAGGUGGCUAGCUAGAAAUAAGACUAUAAGUGAUGAAACGACCAUGCAAUAAUAUCAAAUAAAAAACAAUAAUAUGGCAUAGUGAAUGGGAGGAAUAUAAACGGUUGCAAUGAAUUUGUAUUUUGAAAUACUCAACAAAAUUCCAACAUUUUGGAUAAUAUUUGUGUUCGCCUCAUGGGAGAACUUACUUGUCUCUCAUUUACGAUUAACAUAUCUUCACAUCUUCACCGUACGAUUAACGUAUCUUCACUUUACGUUGAGCUAUUUGUUUACGUUGAUUGAGCAAAUUGUAGAGUUUCUCUGUGAAAUAUGAGCGCUUAGGAUUGCUGCCUUUAUUUUUAGUUUUUAAUUUAUUGCUUUUAUUAUUUUUAUGUUGCUGCAAUAAUUAUUUUUUCUUGAUAUUUAUGAAGUUAAUUAGAUCAGAAAUGAUUUUUCAUAUCAUAUGUUCAGAAAUGGUGGGACUAUCCAUGGGAGAAAAACAUUUUAUACAGGGUGGCUUUGCUCAGAACAUUCGUUCUAAUGGCCGAAAAAGAUCGACUCCUCGGCCCAUCAAUGUCAAAACUGGAGUCAUUUCCCAGGCAAAUGGCUCGGCAAGGGUCAGGAAUCGAAUUGGGCAAACUCGAAAACUGACGAAUUAGGAAUUUGUCCAUUGAAUUGGGUUUUCUGGAGUUAAAUUCUUGGAUUGAUUCGAGAGUUCAAAUCAACUUAUGACCGACUAACCUUGAUGGAGGGGCAGAGGAUGAAGAAAAUGGCGGGCAAUGAGCUCUGACUCUCUGAUUCACUGCGGCAAUUACGAUCGUUGAGCAACAAGCGAGCACCGUCGUGCAUUGAAUACAAUGUCGAGCAGAAGCAACGGGAAGAAAGAAAAUAAAAUUGGUCUUUUGAGAGUGGUGAACCAUUUGGGAUUGCUUUGAGGUUUGGGGGGAGGGUUGGACAUUUGCUGGAGUAAUGAAUGAUUUUGAUUAAUUUUUUCCGGAGAAAUGAUAAAUAGGGUUAUUAACAGAGAAUUGUUAUUGCCCUUUAAAAUUUCAAAUUUUCUUUUUUGGUGGUAUCCACAUGUUUUAUGUAUGGCAUUUGAAUCACAUUAAAGAGGAAAGCUUGACUCCUUAAGAUUGAGAAGGAGUAAUUCCUUAAUA